UGGAAUGCGCAGAUAUCAGGAGGAACACCGAUGGCGAAGGCAGAUCUCUGGGCCGUGACUGACGCUGAGGAGCGAAAGGGUGGGGAGCAAACAGGCUUAGAUACCCUGGUAGUCCACCCCGUAAACGUUGGGAACUAGUUGUGGGGGCCUUUCCACGGUCUCCGUGACGCAGCUAACGCAUUAAGUUCCCCGCCUGGGGAGUACGGCCGCAAGGCUAAAACUCAAAGGAAUUGACGGGGACCCGCACAAGCGGCGGAGCAUGCGGAUUAAUUCGAUGCAACGCGAAGAACCUUACCAAGGCUUGACAUACACCGGAAACGUCCAGAGAUGGUCGCCCCUUUUUGGUCGGUGUACAGGUGGUGCAUGGUUGUCGUCAGCUCGUGUCGUGAGAUGUUGGGUUAAGUCCCGCAACGAGCGCAACCCUCGUUCUAUGUUGCCAGCACGUUAUGGUGGGAACUCAUGGGAUACUGCCGGGGUCAACUCGGAGGAAGGUGGGGAUGACGUCAAAUCAUCAUGCCCCUUAUGUCUUGGGCUUCACGCAUGCUACAAUGGCCGGUACAAUGGGCUGCGAUACCGUGAGGUGGAGCGAAUCCCAAAAAGCCGGUCCCAGUUCGGAUCGUAGUCUGCAACUCGACUACGUGAAGUCGGAGUCGCUAGUAAUCGCAGAUCAGCAACGCUGCGGUGAAUACGUUCCCGGGUCUUGUACACAC
rnacentral:rRNA from 1 species